UGUGUUCAGUCUGAAAAAGCACUAAAUUGAAAUUUUAAAAGGGGAAUCGUGAUACUCGACUCUGAGAGACCUGUGGUUCCUCCGCUAGCUAAGGAUAGAUACCCAUGCUAAGCCUCGUAUUCAUGCAAUCAAGUAUUUAGUCUGCUGCCUGACCAUUGGCUCAAAGCUAACAAACUAACAAGUGCGGUGCGGCUG
rnacentral:sRNA from 1 species